UGGAGCAACAGCACCCCCGUGGCUGGCCCUGUCCUUUAGGGGCCACGCCCCUCUGUCGUCGACUCCCCUCUGGUCAGCAGGGACUCGCAGGCUCCCGUGAUGACGGCACAGACCUCACUCACACCCGGUUCACGGGCUCCGCGUGUAUUUAUCGAGCCCCUGGCUGUGAGUCAGGUGGGGACAUGAUGAGAGAGAGAGCGUGAGUGGGGGAGGAACAGAGAGAGAGGGAGACACAGAAUCGGAAGCAGGCUCUCCAGCUCUCGGCCCCGGCUCACCCCGCUGGUCCUUCCAUGAUGUCGGGGCUGGAAAGGUACAAGGGGACAUUGAGUCAGCCUCCUCACUGACAGACGGGAGGCCCAGGGCUCUGGAGCGAAAGAGACCAGACAAAGUCCGAACUGUGUUGGUCCCAGGUCCCCGCUCCUGAUGAUAAAAUUUCUUUCCCUAUUUGAUCCCUGCCCACACUUGGCCUCGUCCCGGGGUAACCCAAGACUGUACUUCCCAGCAAUGACCCCGGGGCCUUGCAGCUCCUCGAAGCGAAUCUUCUCCCUUUGAAACUCAUUACCCCACGUCCGUUCUCCAACGGGCCUUGCCUCCUAGAACGAGAUGAGUUGAUGCCAGAUGGUGUGUGUGUGGCUGCCUCUCCCUUCCUCCUUCGGGAGCUUCAAAUCCUGGCUCCAGAUCUCACUUGCUGUGUGACGUUGAGCAUCACUCAGCCUCUCUAGGUGGUGCUGGUCUUACCCAACACAUGAAGGCAAUACAAGCUGCCUUCCAGGGCUCAGGACCGUACUUGUCCACAUUCAAGGAGCUUCCGGCAUAGAGCAGUUCCUUGGGCAAUGUGAGCACGUCCCCCGUCCCCAGUCCUAUCCGGCAUGUCUUCCUGCAAACCUUCUUGGGUCCUUUCUUCUCGCUACCGUGUCGGUGCCUAAAAUAACUUUGAGGUUAUCCCCUCCAGGAGAAUUUUAGCAGGGAUCUAUUUUAAAAAGCAGAGCAGCUGAGGAUGUGAAAGUAUUUCGUGUGCGGCGGGGCGGAUGGUGCAAAGAGGGCCGGAGGAGGGGAGGAGGGAGGCGGUGAGCCUUCUCAGGCGGUACCCCUACCCUGGCGGCAGGUGAGAAAACCCCAGUGUUUCGGGCGCUGUUGCAAUCGAGAGACCUGGGAGCGGUCGGGUUUCGAUUUCCGGAAAAACAGAAGGAUGAGGGACAGGGCUUUCAGCAAAGGAGAACCGUAAGUGAGUCACAAGGAGGGAGAAGUCAGGCCAGGAAACUCACAUGACUGUGAAAAGUAUUUGAAUAGAUUCUCUGGAAUGAAUGAAAAGCCUCUGAACCUGACCCUUGUGGUUCUUGUGCUUAAUGAUCGAAGGUGGGGCUGUGCAGACCCAACUUACCCCCGGGGAACUGUCUUUUCUUCUUGAGGACCAAGGAGAAAAGAUCAGAGCCCAACUCUAGACCCACGGAACUGUACGGGCAGGAGGGAAUCUCAGCCGUCAUCCGGUCCUGUCCACCCUCGUACAGACAGUAGACAGAAGCCUGGGGAAGAGAAGGUCGGUGGCACCACUUCACACGAGCCCCUGAGGCCUUCAGCUAUGUAAGAACCACCGGGAGAAGGGUUCUCUGGGAGCAUUUCCUGGUGACACUGGCUCUUUGAAUCCGUUCAGCCCCCAAACGUUAGGGCUAGAAAAGAGAGCCGUAUACACAACAAUGGUGCUUGGGCAUUGCCCCGGCAAGAACGUUGGAAAACAAGAAAACUGUUUUUUGCUCAUCGUUA